AUCGAAAACAUAAAACUACUUGCUAUUACAAGCAUUCACUUUACAUAUGUUUUACAUCACAAUUUUCUUUUACAUUCAACUUCCGAAUACAAUCCAGUAAUUACAAUUAUUACAAGUUUGAUACAUUUGUAUUCUUUUCACUGUCUAUACCCCUAGCUAGCCGACUGGGGUACUUCUAUCUCUGGUCUCUGGGGUAGGGCGCUAUCUACGGAGCUACGUCCUUGCCUCGCGCUGCCGCGCUGCUCACGUGUGUACCUGUACCCCUAAAAACAAUACGGGGGUGAGAACUAUUAUCCAUAGUUCCCAGUGGGCACGGUCACCCAAGGGAAAAGCUCGACCAAUAGAUCCGAGGAGGCACUGCAACAUGUUAGUCCAACAGAUAUCUAUGCAAUUAUUGAAAUACAUGUUUUGCCUCACAAUAUGCAAUAUGAAAUUCAUGCAACUAUGCAAGUAGAUUAAAUGAUUUUACUCUCUAUCAUUUGCCAUUCUUAACUAUUUGCAAUUCUUUCUUAUUAACCACUAUUUCUUCUUAGCUAUUCUCAACCCUUAGCUAUUCUUUAUUAUUUGCUAUUCCUUAACAUUAGCCGUUCUUUAUUCUGUAUUCUUAGUCAUAUUAUGCUCAUUGGCCAUUCUUUCCUAAGGUUACUCUUACCUUAGCCACACUAUGCCACUCGACUCGGUCUUGAGUCAAUCAACUGCGGAUAAUCCGCGCUCUGUUCGGCUCGAGGUGAAGGAACUCUCACAAGCACCUUAGCCAACCACAGCCCACCGCGGUCUAUGACCUAGACACCCGGCGGGGAAAUCGUCGCACAUGCCGCGACGAUGGUUCGAGUCAACCAACGGUAUGAUCCACAAACCGGCUCAACCGGUAUAAUCCACAAACCAGCUUACCCAUCCGGCGGCGAAAUCGUCGAACACGCCACGCCGAUGGUAUAGCCCCGGGCGGCGAAAUCGUCGCACGUGCCCCACACCCCUCUCGGUGUGAUCCAUAAGCUCUGAGAUUCCGGAAUCCAUUUCCACAUAACUCAAGGGUUGGUCUUANCAUCACAAUUUCUUUUUACAUUCAACUUCCGAAUACAAUCCAGUAAUUACAAUUAUUACAAGUUUGAUACAUUUGUAUUCUUUUCACUGUCUAUACCCCUAGCUAGCCGACUGGGGUACUUCUAUCUCUGGUCUCUGAGGUAGGGCGCUAUCUACGGAGCUACGUCCUUGCCUCGCGCUGCCGC
rnacentral:lncRNA from 1 species